rnacentral:tRNA from 1 species
ACUUGAGUAGUUUAAGGAAAAUGUAAAUUUGUGGAGUUUAAGAUGUAAUUUUUACCUUAGGUA